CGGACAAUCAAAUUGUCUGUAAAGAAUGAUAAUUUUUCCUUCUUCUCCAAUAGUAACAUUUCUUAUUUUUCUUUUCUGCCCCUCUUCUUUGGCUAUAACUUUAGAAUAUUGUUAAACAAAUAAUUGUGAUAACAGUAAUCUUUAUCUUGCUCCUACCUUUAAUAAGAAUGCUUCUGCCAUUUUACUUUUAAGUAUGAUGUUGGCUGUUGCUUUCAGAGAGAAAUCUUAAAUCCUAUCAAGGUAACACAUUUCUAUUACUAGAUCACAAAGAGUUUUUUCAAUUGAUCAUCAAUGUUCAAUUUAUAUUUUUUGUCUUGAAUAGACCUACCAGGACACUGUGUGUUUUACUGUGAAAAGGAUGUUCACGUUUUCAAUCCAAUGUUUUUAACUGGACACUGGCCUGCCGCUUAGGACUCAGCUGCUUCUCCGGAGAGGGAGGCUUUGUUCUACCCUGCUACACAGGACACUAAAACCCCCUGUUUUGGGUCAGGCAGGCCAUCUACAGUCUGACAUUGCUCUUUCCGAUGAGCUACUAAGCACCCACACAACUGUUUCAAUUUGUGUUGCCUCAAAGUUACUGUCUCCAAACCUAUAUUGCUUACUAGCAUUACACUUAGGCUUAGAGUAUUUUUUACGUGUUUGUUCCCUAGUUAGUUAAGGGGACACAAUGACAUUGAUUUAUAUCCAUGAUCCAUGCUAGUUGUUUCUCUCCUCUUUAAUCUUUGGACACUGGUGAUUCCAGCCCCAACAUCUCCCAAUGCUUAGCUUACUUGGCUUUUUUUUUUUUUAAUCUUGAUAUAAAAACUCUGUGGAUUCUCAUACUUCCUUAAAAUAGAAUAUGAUUUCUGUUUCACAAUCUAGUUAGCUGAUUUCAUGUAUUGUGUAAAUUUCUUUUUUAUUUUCUGACAGUCAGAAACAUGUUUUCCCUCAAGGAAGUGAGUAGGUACAGGGGACUCCAUGGAGCCCUUCGAAUUUUCAACUGUGUUUAUACCUUCUAGGUGCCUCUCCCCAUUCCCAAAGUAGCCAGUCCACCUCUUCAUCAAUUUCCUUAUUCCAUUCCCAUCAUCAACCCCCUCUUUCAGCAAAUGAAACUUGCCUCCUACUUCACUGAGAAAACCAAGGUGAGAAUUCCCAUUCCUAAAAUCUAUGACUAAUUCUGGAGUCCUCCCUCCACUUUCCCUAGUUGACACCCUUCCCUACAGUUUCAUGCAAAAAACAAAAAUCACCUUUCACCACAAGACAUCUUCACCCAUUCCAUCAUCUCUGUAUCACCUACCUCUGAUGUAUUAGCAACCUCUCCCUCUUUGCAGGCUUGGAAACUUCACCUUCCUUUAAGUCUUCAAUCUAGAUUUAAAUCUCUGUAUCUUCUCCCUACUUUCUCUCUCUCUUUCCAGUCAUAAAUGUGGAAACCCAGCAGUCCCUUUGCUGGCUCAUCUUCCCCUGCCUCCAUCUUAAAUGUUGACACCCUCUCUUGACUCCAGGUUUUACUUUUAGCACUGUUUUUAUUUCAUGACACGUUGAGCGAGAUUGCCCCCAGGUAAUCGCAUUCACUUCCUGAACUUCCACUCGUCUAUGUGCUGCUGACUCCAGUGUUCUCAUUUCUAUUUCAAACCCCACUCUUAAAUCUCACACUGUCUACUGGACCACCUCAACUUGUGUUUCCACCAGCACCUCAAAACAACAUGGACAAAACCCCAUGAUCAGAGUCGUCCCUCCCCCACCAAAUCUGCCCUUCUACCAACUCUCUUAUUGCCACACGUGACAUCACUGUCCACCCAGACACUCAAACCAGCGUGGGAGCCACCCCAGCCUCUCCCUCUCCUGCACAUCCAGUCAAUGCCUCCAUUCAGCCUGUCUUCGCUCCUUGAGUUCUCCUGUGCUAUUCUUCUCUCUCCCACAGUCCCUGCCGCAGCUCUGACCCUAAGCAUUUCUCUUGGAACUCCUGGUAUAGCCUCUGUGCUCUGAAUGUUUUUCUCUUUUAUGCACCAAGCUUUUUCUGACCUCUGGGCUUUCUUUCCCACAUACUGCCCACUGUUCUCUCUCCUUAAAACACUUGUCUGCCCUGAUCUUGACCUUGUCAAACAUUCCUGAACAUAAUCAUCAACGGAGACCUUCUUUAAAAAAAAAGAAAGAAAAAGUAGUUCUAUUUAAAUCACUUCUGUGCUUAAAACCCUCUAACAGCCUCCAUUGCCCUUGAGAUACAGUUUAAUCUCCUUAGCAUGGCAUACAGAUUCUCUGCUCUAGACCUUUCCCUUGCCAAACUUCUGCCCACAUCCUGUGUUCUUGUCGCAGAAAAUUUCUCAUAUCUCCCCAUCUCUGUCAUCCACAUUGCUAUUCUAUGUUAUUGUGAACAUAUCUUUACCUAAUUUUUUUUUUUACUGGUAAUGCUUCUACAACCUCCUCCCCCACCCAACUAUCUAGCAAACCAUCUAUUUAUCUUUUUUAAAUGAUCUCAAAAAUAACCUACUACUUCUUUUUUUGCAGUCUGGCAUAGACUUAUGUCACAGCCUUUUUAAUCGACAGAUCUGUUUUCGGAUCUGUUUGUCUCCCUGUAAAUAACAGUACACAAGCUUGUUAUGGCCAUUUCCUCAAAGGCAGAGAGACAAACAUACACAGGUAAC
rnacentral:lncRNA from 1 species